GCAGCCUUCUAAGGUGGAAUGGUGUUACUCUGUAUAGUCAGAUACCUGAAGCCUUCUGUAAGAGGAAAGACUCAGGAAAUUCUUCUCUGCAUUACUCUGAUUCCUGAUUGACUUCAGGGCUUGCACACCAGACCAACACACUUGGAGAUCUUAGAUCCACCACUGCUUUAUAAAGCUGCCUGUUGCUCGACCUCCUGCACAGAUGAAAUGUGAAACCUUUUAAUUUAUGGUUCAUAAACCCACUGGAGUAAUGACACUACAGUCUGUAGUUUGGGGCUAGGAUCAAACUGAAGAAAGGAAGAGCAGAUGUUAAUGCACCAAAAAAAUAAUUCCCUGUGGUUCUCUGAGUGGUUUACAAGCAACACAUGGUUUAAAGAUGAAGCUGAGGAAGAUGAAGUACAAUAGGAAUGACUUGACUGUCACUUUCAAAGCAAUUUAUAAAUGCAUGAAAGGGAGGGGGUUGUUUCUGAUUGUGCUUGAGCACACUUCCAUGCAGGGAGACUUGUCAGAUGGCAUGGAAAUAAAAAGCAGCUUCUUUGGCAUGUUGUAUAUUGAUUGCUCUGUCAAGGACAGUGAUCUCUGAAUUGAUCUGAUGUUCUGCCACACUUCAUGCCCGGUCCUUUGCCUUAAUGCAGCACUAAUAACAGUUGUGAUGAUUGGAACUAUUACUUAACAUGUUUUUAAUCUCAGCAAGUAAGAGAUAAUGUUUCAUCAGAGCAGAAGUGUUGUCAGUCAGGGCUCUUAGUGCAAACUCACACAGGCAGUGUGAACAUGUUAAUUUGAGCAUUAGGGAACUUCUGUCUAAUCAUAUUGUACGUGUCUAGGCCAUGUGUUUUUAUUGUGAGGGAUAAAAAAUCAUCACACUCACUUGGUCUUAACUUCUGUACUUAGCUGAAC